CCUCCUUCAGAAGACACCACUGCACGCCCUGCGGUCCAUCUCUGGCUUCAUAGAAGUCACCCACUCCUAUUUUUGCACUGAAGCUGAAAUUGUCCCUUGAGAUAUCCAUUAUUCCAUUUCUGCUGAGAUACUUUACUACUUCAGGAUAUUGCCUCAGCUUCUUUCCACAAGGUGCAAAAUACGCUACUUCUCCCUGAAGACGGCCACCAAAGUUUCUUAUUCGGGUUUCUCUUUGCCAGCCAUAUUCCAGAGGAACACGCAGCUCCCGUUCAUCUGUUACUCUUCGUCUCUUUGAGAUGCCUAAAAAAG
rnacentral:lncRNA from 1 species